UACGGGGGGGGCAAGCGUUGUUCGGAAUUACUGGGCGUAAAGGGUUCGUAGGUAGCUUGCUCAGUCAGACGUGAAAUCCCUCAGCUUAACUGGGGAACUGCGUCUGAUACUGGCGAGCUUGAGUGCAGGAGAGGAACGCGGAAUUCCAGGUGUAGCGGUGAAAUGCGUAGAUAUCUGGAGGAACACCGGUGGCGAAGGCGGCGUUCUGGACUGCAACUGACACUGAGGAACGAAAGCCAGGGGAGCAAACGGG
rnacentral:rRNA from 1 species